UCUAGUAGUGGGCAAUCUGUGUGUGAAAAGCAUGAUUAAGUCUAAGAUGAAAUACUUCUGUAUUGAGGUAAGUUUGGCAAAUUUUGGUGGCAUGCCAGCUGAAUGUUGGGGGUUGUUAACUUUUGUGUAUUCUUUGCAACUUCUCAGUAGAAUAAAGUUUAUGACAAGCAUAAACCACUUUUCAAGUAGGACAUGUUUACUUCUACUUUAGCAUAUAUCUGCUUUUCCAUUUAGUCAUCAUGAAGUUUAGUCAUGCUAUAUUCAUGUUCCAGGUUACAUGUGCUGUUCCUACAGACUAAGGACACAGUCGGUGGGAUUACAUUGGGCGUGCAGAUACAUCUGCCAGAAUUUCCAUGGAGCUGGAAUCCUCAGCUACACCAAUGUGGAAGAUUAUAAAUGUUAUACCAUCUUUGUAAAGGCUCCUUGGAAUGCAUUCUUCGAAACAAGAAUUGGAAAUACACCAGGUUCUUACCUGGUGUAAAUGGACCCAAAAGCCUUGUAUGGCUUUGUUGGACUUCAGAAGACCACCUCUUGUCCCAGUAAUUAAAUCUGACUUCAGAACUUAGCUUUUGGGUAUCUUCGAAUUUAUUCCUUAAAAUAGAAAUGCAGGUUGCUUCCAGCUCUUUCACUUCACUUUCCAUUUCACUGUCUUUGUAUCUCGUAUGAAUUUCUGUGUACUUCUUUUUUAAAUAGUUCUUUCAGUCUUAAAAAAAAAUUUGUAUUUCUAACAGCUACUGCAUUGUAUACUUCAUGGAAGCAGAAAUUUCUUCUCUGUUUCCCAGGUUAGUUUAUAUAAUUAUUAUAUUUGUAGCAAUGUCUAGGUAACGAAUGGAAUUCACCAUAGCAUUCUAGUUGCCAAGUCUGGAUGCAGUGUUUUCUGAAAUGUAAUGGCCUAUUAUUGUCACUCAUUAGCUGUUGGCAAAGGGUUGUGUUAAAGCUCUUAAACAAUAUGAAAAUGAUGGGUCAGUUUGAGGGUAACUCUCACUGUGUGAAACUUGCCCCACGUAUUCUGAUUAUACUUGCAAAAGGAGACUCCCUUCCACAAACUUAGCACUUCUUGUCCCCCAACCUUUGCGGCUUAAUGGAGGAGUGCAUUUUCUUUUCCUUGGAACAUGAUGGCUGCCUCUGUUACAGUGAUUAGGCUCUCUUCCUCUCUGUGCUCUCUUAAUUAACAUUUCUAAUAUGUCAUUUUAAUUGUACAUCUCUUCCUGCUUGCCUGGCUUCUCUUGUUAUUAUCAACCAAAAACAUCAAG
rnacentral:lncRNA from 1 species